rnacentral:rRNA from 1 species
AGAGUUUGAUCCUGGCUCAGGACGAACGCUAGCGGCGUGCCUGAGAAAUGCAAGUCGAGCGAGGAUCGGGGAGCAAUCCCCGGUGCGAGCGGCGAACGGUCGAGUAACACGUAAGCAACCUGCCCGGAAGCGGGGGACAAGCCGUGGAAACACGGGGUAAUACCGCAUAGCUUCAUCUCGCAGAGGCGAGGUGAAGAAAGGAUCGAAAGAUUCACUUCCGGAGGGGCUUGCGGCCUAUCAGCUAGUUGGUCGGGGUAACGGCCCACCAAGGCGACGACGGGUAGCGGGUCUGAGAGGACGACCCGCCGGACUGGGACUGAGACACGGCCCAGACUCCUACGGGGGGCAGCAAUCAGGAAUCUUGCGCAAUGGGCGAAAGCCUGACGCAGCGACGCCGCGUGGGUGAGGAAGUCCUUCGGGAUGUAAAGCCCUUUUCGGGAGGACGAUGAUGACGGUACUCCCGGAAGGAGCCCCGGCUAACUACGUGCCAGCAGCCGCGGUAAUACGUAGGGGGCGAGCG